rnacentral:rRNA from 1 species
UGGGGAAUUUUGGACAAUGGGCGAAAGCCUGAUCCAGCAAUGCCGCGUGUGUGAAGAAGGCCUUCGGGUUGUAAAGCACUUUUGUCCGGAAAGAAAUCCUUGGCUCUAAUACAGUCGGGGGAUGACGGUACCGGAAGAAUAAGCACCGGCUAACUACGUGCCAGCAGCCGCGGUAAUACGUAGGGUGCAAGCGUUAAUCGGAAUUACUGGGCGUAAAGCGUGCGCAGGCGGUUUGCUAAGACCGAUGUGAAAUCCCCGGGCUCAACCUGGGAACUGCAUUGGUGACUGGCAGGCUAGAGUAUGGCAGAGGGGGGUAGAAUUCCACGUGUAGCAGUGAAAUGCGUAGAGAUGUGGAGGAAUACCGAUGGCGAAGGCAGCCCCCUGGGCCAAUACUGACGCUCAUGCACGAAAGCGUGGGGAGCAAAACAGGAUUAGAUACCCUGGUAGUCCACGCCCUAAACGAUGUCAACUAGUUGUUGGGGAUUCAUUUCCUUAGUAACGUAGCUAACGCGUGAAGUUGACCGCCUGGGGAGUACGGUCG